rnacentral:hammerhead_ribozyme from 1 species
AUUGAGCUGAUGAGUCCCAAAUAGGACGAAACGCGCCUUGUCCUGGAU